UGUUUAAUAUAGUAUAUAUAUAUAUAUUGAAAAGAAGCAGGAUUCAGCUUAUGUUAGUAAUAAUGAAAAAUCCAAAAAGUGAAGGAUCCAAAGGCCAGCUGCUGUCUUGGUUUUUUCCCUCCUGUAUUUAUGUCCAAAUACCGCUGCCGAGUGUAAUUCAGGUUGUCAUUUUUUGUGUGGAAAAAAGCAACAGCUAGCGGGUAAUACCGCGGCGGUAGAGUCAAUGGGCCAUAUUUUUGAUAAUUAUCAUUUAUGAAUCUAUAAGGAAAUUAUGGUAGGUAGCCAGUUGCCUGGCUGCCUGAUAAUUUACACUAGGGAUCGAUGGUCAACCUCAGGUGCAGCAAAACGCGUUUUCAUGCUCCAACAAAGAGAGACAGUGGUUGUGCGUCUGUGUAUUCCUAUUUGUUUCAUCAAUUAGGCCCCUCAAGUUUUCGGCUUGUCGUCAUUUGAGCAUAGCAUGUUUCUGCUGAUAUUUUCGGAGCAGAGAAGUUGGUGAAGUUGAAGCUGUUUCUUCACCUCAUCGCCAUAUGCAAUGUUCGAAGCAGGAGUGAUAGUAGUCAGGGAAGAUUCUGGAGUAGUUAUCGUAACUGGUAGGAUUAUCCCUCCAAUUAAAGAAUUGACAGCAGAGUGCAUUGAAAAUUCAAAUCCAUAUACAAGACGUCAAGAACAAGGACAAGAGUGGACGUGGAAUCAUAUUUACUUGUAUAUUUCUUACCCCCAAAAAAAGGAGGAACAAAAAGAAAAAAGAAACUUGUUUUAGAAUUUAAGAUAGAGUUGGUCCCCUCCCAUGAUUGCAUGGAAACUAGUAUUCACUAUGCCCUUACUUAUUAUAUAUUGUGAUGGAGAGUGAGAUUAAGCCACACUUAAUUAAAAGAUUAGGGUAGAUUUUAAGUUCUAAUGGCCGUGAACCUUUUAUUAUAGCAUUUGGCAGGAUAAUAAUAAAAAUGGCUAUUAAAUUUUGAAUUUA